GGUGUUUGAAAUGUCUAGGGUAUAUGGAAUAUACACUGACAGAUCGCUGGAAUAGUGGCGAUGUAUGUACUACGUGCUGUCGCUGCUGAAGGUGUGUGAACAGAUUCGAAGCACCUCAAUCUCCUCUUCGCUCCUAUACUGGUAGUGAGGUAACCGAAUGUAUGAGGAAUGAGAUUUGCUUGAUCAAAGGUUUGGUCCUUCUUGGUGUUUAAAUCCUCUUCUCUUUUGGUUUGUUCUCUUUUCACCAAGUUAUUGUUUGUAUCCAUCAGUUGUUGUCGACUGCUGGUGG
rnacentral:lncRNA from 1 species